UACGUAGGGUGCAAGCGUUUAAUCGGAAUUACUGGGCGUAAAGCGUGCGCAGGCGGCUUUGCAAGACAGAUGUGAAAUCCCCGGGCUUAACCUGGGAACUGCAUUUGUGACUGCAUGGCUGGAGUGCGGCAGAGGGGGGAUGGAAUUCCGCGUGUAGCAGUGAAAUGCGUAGAUAUGCGGAGGAACACCGAUGGCGAAGGCAAUCCCCUGGGCCUGCACUGACGCUCAUGCACGAAAGCGUGGGGAGCAAACAGG
rnacentral:rRNA from 1 species